AUUGAACGCUAGCGGGAUGCUUUACACAUGCAAGUCGAACGGCAGCGCGGACUUCGGUCUGGCGGCGAGUGGCGAACGGGUGAGUAAUGUAUCUGAACGUGCCCAGUAGCGGGGGAUAAGUACGCGAAAGCGUAGCUUAUACCGCAUACGCCCUACGGUGGAAAUCAGGUGAUCGUAAGACCGUUCACUAUUUUAGCGGGCUAUAUCGGAUUAGCGAGUUGGUGAGGUCACGGGUCACCAAGGCUAAGAAGCGUAGCUGGUAUGAAGGGACGGCUAGACACAUUGGGACUGAGACACGGCCCAGACUCCUACGCGAAGACGCAGCGGGGACUUUUGGACGAUGGAGGAAAGCGUAAUCCAGCACUCCCGGCUGUGGGCUGAAGGCCUUAGGGUUGUAAAGCGAUUUUGGCCGGAGAGAAACGUAGCGCGCUAACACCCCGUGGAAAUGACGGUACCUGCAGAAUAAGCUCCGGCUAACUACGUG
rnacentral:rRNA from 1 species